rnacentral:rRNA from 1 species
UGGGGAAUAUUGCACAAUGGGGGAAACCCUGAUGCAGCGACGCCGCGUGGGUGAAGAAGUAUUUCGGUAUGUAAAGCCCUAUCAGCAGGGAAGAAAAAUGACGGUACCUGACUAAGAAGCACCGGCUAAAUACGUGCCAGCAGCCGCGGUAAUACGUAUGGUGCAAGCGUUAUCCGGAUUUACUGGGUGUAAAGGGAGCGCAGGCGGCACGCUAAGCCUGAUGUGAAAACCCGCGGCCCAACCGCGGGAGUGCAUUGGGAACUGGCGGGCUGGAGUACCGGAGGGGCAGGCGGAAUUCCUAGU